GACGAACGCUGGCGGCGUGCCUAAUACAUGCAAGUCGAACGCAGUGGGGACGGGUGAGUAACACGUGGGUAACCUCCCAUCAGAGGGGAUAACACUUGGAAACAGGUGCUAAACCGAUACUGAUGGAUGGUCCCGCGGUGCAUUAGCUAGUUGGUGGGGUAACGGCGCACCAAGGCCACGAUGCAUAGCUGACCUGAGAGGAUGAGCGGCCACACUGGGACUGAGACACGGUCCAGACUCCUACGGGAGGCAGCAGUAGGGAAUAUUGGACAAUGGACGAAAGUCUGACCGAGCAACGCCGCGUGAGUGAAGAAGGUCUUCGGAUCGUAAAGCACUGUUGUUAGAGAAGCGGUAUCUAACCAGAAAGCCACGGCUAACUACGUGCCAGCCGCCGCGGUAAUAC
rnacentral:rRNA from 1 species